rnacentral:rRNA from 1 species
GACGAACGCUGGCGGCGUGCUUAACACAUGCAAGUCGAACGGUGAACGAGGGAGCUUGCUCCCUCCGGAUCAGUGGCGAACGGGUGGGUAACACGUGAGCAAUCUGCCCCGAACUCUGGGAUAAGCGUUGGAAACGACGUCUAAUACCGGAUACGACGCGGGAGGGCAUCCUCUCCGCGUGGAAAGAACUUCGGUUCGGGAUGAGCUCGCGGCGUAUCAGCUUGUUGGUGUGGUAACGGCUGACCAAGGCGACGACGUGUAGCCGGGCUGAGAGGGAGACCGGCCCCGCUGCGCCUGAGACACGGCACAGCCCCCUCUGGUACGCAGCGGUGCAGUAGAGUGCACUAUGCGCGCAAGCCUGAUGCAGCCCCGCCGCGUGGGGUAAGACGGCAUUCGGGUUGUAAUCCUAUUUUCGCAGGGCAGAAGCGAAAGUGACGGUACCUGCAGAAAAAGCACCGGCUAACUACGUG